rnacentral:lncRNA from 1 species
CGGGGUCUGGGGCGGCUUCCCGAGGCGGCGCCGGCUGAGGGGGCGUGAGGAGGAGGCGCUUCUCCCCGCAGAGAGCAGGCCCGCGGCGCCCCUCCGCACGCGCGGACCCUGGGCCGCUGACUCGGCUGCCGCGGAGGUGGAGUCGGGGUCGCGGAUGUCGCCCUCGCUCUGUCCCGCCGAGGGCUCGGGGCUUUGUCUUUGGGGGGAGAGGACAGGGUUGAGUGUUUUGGGUUGGCUGAGUGCGUCUCAGGACCAUGCUGGCGCACCCUUUGUCGUCGAUGGUGAAAUCUUAGCCCAGCCGCGAGAGCCGGGGGGCGUUCCUAACGCCCUCCUCACCGUCCGGAUCGCCGUCCCCACUCUCGCGUCUGGCCUCCUUCCGAGUCAGGGAUCCUGUCCCAGCCCGAGGAGCUUCCUGUUGACUAAAAUGAAACUAAAGCCCAGAGGAAGUAAGUAGGUUGGCCAAGGCCUCCCAGGUGGGGCUGUCUCAUAAAAUUGGAUGUUUGAUGGAUGAAGACUUCCUUUUCAGAUAGAGAAGGCGGGUUCUUCAGUCAAGGGGAGAACCGAGUGCCCAGCCAACAGCCAGCACCAACCACUGCACCUGGGACUGAGUCCAUCUUGCCCUUCCAGCUCUGUUGACCUCCCAGGGGACUGCAGCAACAGGACUGAGCCCAGGUGAGCCCAGCAGAGGAAACGCCCAGCUGAUCCAUGAAUCAUGAGGCAUAAUCAACUGUUUUACAAUACUAAAAUUUAUAUGUAAUCAAAUAAAAAUAUAUGUUGGUGAAGUGA